rnacentral:rRNA from 1 species
CGUAGGUGGCGAGCGUUGUCCGGAUUUACUGGGCGUAAAGGGAGCGUAGGCGGACUUUUAAGUGAGAUGUGAAAUACCCGGGCUCAACUUGGGUGCUGCAUUUCAAACUGGAAGUCUAGAGUGCAGGAGAGGAGAAUGGAAUUCCUAGUGUAGCGGUGAAAUGCGUAGAGAUUAGGAAGAACACCAGUGGCGAAGGCGAUUCUCUGGACUGUAACUGACGCUGAGGCUCGAAAGCGUGGGGAGCAAACAGGAUUAGAUA